rnacentral:tRNA from 1 species
CCUGAUAGUAAGUACUAUAGCACUGUCUGCGAGGCUACAACUCGCCGCUUACU